rnacentral:rRNA from 1 species
AGAGCGAACGCCGGCGGCAGGCCUAAUACAUGCAAGUCGAACGCACCUUCGGGUGAGUGGCGGACGGGUGAGUAACACGUGGGAACGUGCCUUUGGUUCGGAAUAAUCCGGGGAAACCUGGUCUAAUACCGGAUGUGCCCUUCGGGGAAAGAUUUAUCGCCAUUAGAGCGGCCCGCGUCUGAUUAGCUUGUUGGUGGGUAAUGGCCCACCAAGGCUACGAUCAGUAGCUGGUCUGAGAGGAUGAUCAGCCACACUGGGACUGAGACACGGCCCAGACUCCUACGGGAGGCAGCAGUAGGGAAUCUUGCGCAAUGGGCGAAAGCCUGACGCAGCCAUGCCGCGUGAAUGAUGAAGGCCCUAGGGUUGUAAAGCCCUUUCGGCGGGAAGAUAAUGACGGUACCCGCAGAAGAAGCCCCGGCUAACUUCGUGCCAGCAGCCGC